rnacentral:lncRNA from 1 species
CUUCUAUUCUGUUUGUGGAUGCAACACUAGGAAUCUGCCACUUGGAACCACAGCUUAUCUGACAGCAGGCUCGCUAUUGGUUUCUGCCAAAGGGGGGGGGGUGCCACGAAAACUGCAAGGUCUUAAACGCCUGUGUAACAGAUGACCCCUUUUCAACUCCCUGUUUAAAUAACUGGUGCGGUGGUGUCCCUCCAACCAUGCUCUCACCACGGUCCUGAAUGGAACAGAAGCCGAGCGGCCUGACUAAAUUCUCUCAACUCUGGAUGCGGAUCCCAACUGGAACCCAGAUCUUGAUUUUCUGCUCACUCCGUCCCUCACAUCUCCUGACCAGCAUGAUGAAAGAGGAUACAGUGAUCCAGUGGUGUUUAAAGAUCAUGGGAAGUGUGCUACCCUUCGCCACCACGGGGUGCUGAGCUGCAUAGACACACCCGGCGCUUCGAACUGUACCUGACAUCGGGUACAGUUACCAGCAGGAAGCAGAGCAGCAUCCGUCCAGAGCACAGUUCUCAGCCACCGUCAUCUGUUGGAACCUCAUUUCUACCCCCUAUUCAUUGUGGGAGUUUACCUAUAUGAACUUUAUCUACUGAGCCUCAGUCCCCUAUACCAUACCAUAAGACAUCUUGCAGGGCAGAGGACUAAACGUGAUAAAGCACACAAAAUGUUAUUGUAGUGCCUAACAUAAAACGCCCAGACAAGGUCUUUGCUACUGUUAUUCAUCUUUCUAAAUGGAAUGAGCCAGAAGUCUUCUGACAUCUCUGGGACGUGUGCGUGGCAGGUGAGUUUGGGGAAAGACCACCUCAAAUGGCCUCUGUGGAAAGGAAAUGGGUCUGGGUUUUCAAGGCGUUCUGAACAGCAAUGGCUUACACUCUCAGAGAGCGCACAAGAGCUUCCAGUCAGCCCGAGGGAAGAAGAGCUUCGAAUGGUCACCCAGUGCCACUCGUGGACUUGCUGCCUCGGAGCCGAGUCAAGUCAUACUUAGAGUCAGCUUGCAAGAAGGACUUCCAAUCAUGUGCAGUAUAAUACUGUGCAGUUUAAAUCUUGAAGUCAAAAAGAUCUGAACCCACGAGGAGAGGGGGCGGGGCAGAUGACAGGUAAUCUAUGAUCCUGCGUGCCAAUGGUUAUUAUUUUCAAAUUCCAAAUAAAUCUUGUUUCCCAGCAAGCAUGGCAAAGAGGGAAAU